rnacentral:rRNA from 1 species
CGGCACGGGUGAGUAACACGUAUCCAACCUGCCGUCUACUCUUGGACAGCCUUCUGAAAGGAGGAUUAAUACAAGAUGGCAUCAUGAGUCCGCAUGUUCACAUGAUUAAAGGUAUUCCGGUAGACGAUGGGGAUGCGUUCCAUUAGAUAGUAGGCGGGGUAACGGCCCACCUAGUCUUCGAUGGAUAGGGGUUCUGAGAGGAAGGUCCCCCACAUUGGAACUGAGACACGGUCCAA